rnacentral:rRNA from 1 species
ACGAACGCUGGCGGCGUGCUUAACCCAUGCAAGUCGAGCGGAAAGGCCCUGCUUUUGUGGGGUGCUCGAGUGGCGAACGGGUGAGUAACGCGUGAGUAACCUGCCCUUGACUUUGGGAUAACUUCAGGAAACUGGGGCUAAUACCGGAUAGGAGCUCCUGCUGCAUGGUGGGGGUUGGUAAGUUUCGGCGGUUGGGGAUGGACUCGCGGCUUAUCAGCUUGUUGGUGGGGUAGUGGCUUACCAAGGCUUUGACGGGUAGCCGGCCUGAGAGGGUGACCGGCCACAUUGGGACUGAGAUACGGCCCAGACUCCUACGGGAGGCAGCAGUGGGGAAUAUUGCACAAUGGGCGGAAGCCUGAUGCAGCAACGCCGCGUGCGGGAUGACGGCCUUCGGGUUGUAAACCGCUUUCGCCUGUGACGAAGCGUGAGUGACGGUAAUGGGUAAAGAAGCACCGGCUAACUACGUG